rnacentral:lncRNA from 1 species
AAGUGAGAAAAUAACAAUAAAAUAAUAAUAAUUUUAUCAUAAGAGAAUUUGUGAGAUAAAAGGCGAUUCAGAAGUCAAGUGAGGCAUAAUAAGGUAUUUCAGGUACCAAGGAGACAAGAUAAAAUUUUUAAAAUAUUAAUAUUUAGUCGGAUGUCGAAAUCAGUCAAGAAGAAAGAUCAUAUGGUUGAUUCAAGUGGGGGAGAAGAUGACAAGCCCGACU